rnacentral:rRNA from 1 species
GGGUGAUGGCGUGCCUUUUGUAGAAUGAACCGGCGAGUUACGAUCCCGUGCGAGGUUAAGCUGAAGAGGCGGAGCCGCAGCGAAAGCGAGUCUGAAUAGGGCGUUUAGUACGUGGUCGUAGACCCGAAACCAGGUGAUCUACCCAUGUCCAGGGUGAAGUUCAGGUAACACUGAAUGGAGGCCCGAACCCACGCACGUUGAAAAGUGCGGGGAUGAGGUGUGGGUAGCGGAGAAAUUCCAAUCGAACCUGGAGAUAGCUGGUUCUCCCCGAAAUAGCUUUAGGGCUAGCCUUAAGUGUAAGAGUCUUGGAGGUAGAGCACUGAUUGGACUAGGGGUCCUCAUCGGAUUACCGAAUUCAGUCAAACUCCGAAUGCCAAUGACUUAUCCUUAGGAGUCAGACUGCGAGUGAUAAGAUCCGUAGUCAAAAGGGAAACAGCCCAGACCGCCAGCUAAGGUCCCAAAGUGUGUAUUAAGUGGAAAAGGAUGUGGAGUUGCUUAGACAACUAGGAUGUUGGCUUAGAAGCAGCCACCAUUUAAAGAGUGCGUAAUAGCUCACUAGUCGAGUGACUCUGCGCCGAAAAUGUACCGGGGCUAAAUACACCACCGAAGCUGCGGAUUGAUACCAAUGGUAUCAGUGGUAGGGGAGCGUUCUAAGGACAGUGAAGUCAGACCGGAAGGACUGGUGGAGUGCUUAGAAGUGAGAAUGCCGGUAUGAGUAGCGAAAGACGGGUGAGAAUCCCGUCCACCGAAUGCCUAAGGUUUCCUGAGGAAGGCUCGUCCGCUCAGGGUUAGUCAGGACCUAAGCCGAGGCCGACAGGCGUAGGCGAUGGACAACAGGUUGAUAUUCCUGUACCACCUCUUUAUCGUUUGAGCAAUGGAGGGACGCAGAAGGAUAGAAGAAGCGUGCGAUUGGUUGUGCACGUCCAAGCAGUUAGGCUGAUAAGUAGGCAAAUCCGCUUAUCG